rnacentral:misc_RNA from 1 species
GUGAAGAACGCAGUGAAAUGCGAUAAGUAGUGUGAAUUGCAGAAUUCCGUGAAUCAUCGAAUCUUUGAACGCACAUUGCGCCUUCUGGUAUUCCGGAAGGCAUGCCUGUUCGAGAGUCAUUAACAACCGUUUCGAUCCCUUUCUUUCAGAAAUUACAAAGAGGAAAAGGGUUUGGUUAUGGUGGAGGAGGGAAAGGGAGCGUUUAGCCUGUAAAAAAAGAGGCUGUGCUCCGCCUCCCCCCCAAAAUUGUACAGGCGGUCGUGUGCGCCCACGCAUCGAGGUGUUGUAAAAGCUGCCACGGCACUUUUCACCUGUGCAGUGCGAGAUUGGCCAGCCGGUUUAAAAACCCCUCCAAACAAUCAAAGGUUGACCUCGGAUCAGGUAGGGAUACCCGCUGAACUUAAGCAUAUUAAUAAGCGGAGGA